ACUCAACGUUGAUUCUUUUAAAAAGGGUGAGUUCUAAGUUGUAAAAGCAUGCUGCUAAUAACAUUUAUGUUAUUUAGGCAGACCCUUGAUCAGCUUGUUAGCCCUAAACUUGAUUUUAAGGAGUUU
rnacentral:sRNA from 2 species